rnacentral:misc_RNA from 1 species
AGAAGAAUGUGUUCAAGGGGAUACAUAAGAACAAGUUGUUCUUGGGUAUCAUUGGGGUAACCAUAGUCCUUCAGGUGCUGAUGGUGGAGUUUCUGAAAAAGUUCGCAGACACAGAGAGGUUGAAUUGGGGCCAAUGGGUUGCAUGCAUUGGUAUGGCAGCCGUCUCCUGGCCAAUUGGUUGGGUUGUCAAGAGUUUACCUGUGCCGGAGAAACCCAUAUUCAGCUAUAUCAAGCGGAGGAAAUAGAAUUUCUAAUGUUAUUCUUUUUUCUUGGGAUAAAUAAAAGCUCGG